UCUUCAUUGCGACGGCGACUCUCAAA
rnacentral:piRNA from 1 species